rnacentral:rRNA from 1 species
GCGACGACGGGUAGCCGGCCUGAGAGGGUGACCGGCCACACUGGGACUGAGACACGGCCCAGACUCCUACGGGAGGCAGCAGUGGGGAAUAUUGCACAAUGGGCGGAAGCCUGAUGCAGCGACGCCGCGUGAGGGAUGACGGCCUUCGGGUUGUAAACCUCUUUCAGUAGGGAAGAAGCGAAAGUGACGGUACCUGCAGAAGAAGCGCCGGCUAACUACGUGCCAGCAGCCGCGGUAAUACGUAGGGCGCAAGCGUUAUCCGGAAUUAUUGGGCGUAAAGAGCUCGUAGGCGGUUUGUCGCGUCUGCCGUGAAAGUCCGGGGCUCAACUCCGGAUCUGCGGUGGGUACGGGCAGACUAGAGUGAUGUAGGGGAGACUGGAAUUCCUGGUGUAGCGGUGAAAUGCGCAGAUAUCAGGAGGAACACCGAUGGCGAAGGCAGGUCUCUGGGCAUUAACUGACGCUGAGGAGCGAAAGCAUGGGGAGCGAACAGGAUUAGAUACCCUGGUAGUCCAUGCCGUAAACGUUGGGCACUAGGUGUGGGGGACAUUCCACGUUUUCCGCGCCGUAGCUAACGCAUUAAGUGCCCCGCC